GAAGUCGGAAUUGCUAGUAAUGGCAGGUCAGCAUACUGCCGUGAAUACGUUCCCGGGCCGUUGUACACACCGCCCGUCACACCAUGGGAGUCGGAAAUGCCCGAAGUCAGUGACCCAACCACAACGUGAACUUUGUUCGCGUGGAGGGAGCUGCCGAAGGUGGAGCCGGUAACUGGGGUGAAGUCGUAACAAGGUAUC
rnacentral:rRNA from 1 species